UUUGGUUGUGCAGUGGUACAGUGGUGUGUCACAAUGACAGUAGUUCACUUUCCUUCAUCCUUUUCUCCUUCACAGCCACUUGUGACCAAAGACUCUGCUGUCAGUUCCACUCUGCUCCAGUAGAGGAUGAUGUUCAGCGAGUUCACACAUCAAUGGAGCAAACAAAUGAAGCCAUUAUCAACCUUCAACCGGCGCUGUUGGAAGCAGUCGAGGACUUCGUGCUUAUAUUAAAUACAAGCUGAAAGUCCAACACCCACAGACAGGCAAAAUGGACAGUGUAACAGAAGCCUUGAAGACCAAGUGAAGACCUCCACCUUCACUGUGUAUAUUGUUGGCCAAGUAUGUGGUUUAUCUGGGAAUCGAACCCACGGAUCUCUGCUCUCCCUUUGAAAGGCAGGCGUGCUAACUGGAACCACAUUUACAUUUAUUUGCAUGUCAGCAUGCUCCUCAUUUUUCAACCUCAACAUUUGCAUUUUUCUAAUUUUAAAUAACUUGUCUUUACUGUGUACUAAGCAUACCUAUUCAAGAUGGAUGGAUGGAUGAAUGGAUGGAUGGAUGAAUGGAUGGAUGGAUGAAUGGAUGACAGACUGAUGGAAGGAGAACUUUAAUAAUACCUUGGGAGAGAGAAUGGAGUUUUUUUACAGACUUAUUAUACAGACUUAGUUCUCU